CUCGCGAUUGGCCGCAUCAGCCUCCAGUGCCCGCCCCCGGCCCGCUGGCCCUGCCCCCGCAGAGGGGAGCAAGUGCUCGCCCGCCUGCGGUGGGUUCGGCUGCGCGGCGGGGCUGAGGCGGCCGCGGUGGCCCUAACGCAGGGAGCGGACACUGGGUUUCUGAACCUCGUCGCUGAAGACGGCCAGGACUUAAGAAGCACAGGCUAAAGCAGUGCUGCUUCUUGGAAAAACUGGAAAAAGCUCUCUGGACGACGGGGG
rnacentral:lncRNA from 1 species